CCAGACUCCUACGGGAGGCAGCAGUGAGGAAUAUUGGUCAAUGGCCGCAGGGCUGAACCAGCCAAGUCGCGUGAGGGAUGACGGUCCUAUGGAUUGUAAACCUCUUUUGUCGGGGAGCAAAGCGAACCACGUGUGGUUCAUUGAGAGUACCCGAAGAAAAAGCAUCGGCUAACUCCGUGCCAGCAGCCGCGGUAAUACGGAGGAUGCGAGCGUUAUCCGGAUUUAUUGGGUUUAAAGGGUGCGCAGGCGGAGGUGCAAGUCAGCGGUCAAAUUGCGGGGCUCAACCCCGUGCUGCCGUUGAAACUGCAGCCCUUGAGUGCGCGAGAAGUAUGCGGAAUGCGUGGUGUAGCGGUGAAAUUCAUAGAUAUCACGCAGAACUCCGAUUGCGA
rnacentral:rRNA from 1 species